rnacentral:rRNA from 1 species
UACGUAGGGUGCAAGCGUUGUCCGGAAUUAUUGGGCGUAAAGAGCUCGUAGGCGGUUUGUCGCGUCGGCUGUGAAAACCUGGGGCUCAACCCCGGGCCUGCAGCCGAUACGGGCAAACUAGAAUUCGGUAGGGGAGACUGGAAUUCCUGGUGUAGCGGUGAAAUGCGCAGAUAUCAGGAGGAACACCGGUGGCGAAGGCGGGUCUCUGGGCCGAUAUUGACGCUGAGGUGCGAAAGCGUGGGGAGCAAACAGG